rnacentral:lncRNA from 1 species
CUUCGGGUUAAAGGAUUGUCACCAAUUAAUGAUUCCAAUCUUAAAUUUGAUUGUGUCAAAAAACUUUUAGGGGAAAUUGUUCCUGUCAUUUCUGAUCUCUCAUUCCCAAAAAAAACGCAUGUAUGAGGUGAACAAUAGAAUGUACUUGAUCAGCACAAUUCCAUGAGCAUUUUAGAUCUCACAAAUGGAAAACUUUUUAAUUUUUCUGUGACUUUUUUUUCACGACAAAGUCGUAAAUGUUUUAAAAAUAAAAGGUAAACACAAGAUAUAAAUAUAAAGGACACAGAUCCUAAAUUUGCUAAAUUUAAAAAAUGGGCUGCUUAAAAAAAUAUUUUUUAAUCAAGCUUAUGCCUAAUGUAUGACAUACAACUGAAGAAGACGUGUAUGGAUGCUCCAGCAAAAGGAUUACAAACCGGGAUUUUGCGCCAACCGUCACGUGCUCUGAUGUACAGCUCGCCAUUCUUCUCAGACACAUAGGCCAAAGUUCCCUCUGCAGCGCGGUGUGUCUCUCUGAGCAUCUCACCGGGCUGGCAUGACCCGGAGUUCCUGGUGGACCAGGGGGACCGGGAGGGCCCGGGACACUGAUUGCAGCUGGCAACAGCACAUAGGCGGCGGCUGGACCUGGAGGCCCUGCAGGGCCAGGAGAACCCCGUGGUCCAGGUCGUCCAAUCCCAGGAACUCCAGGCAAACCAGGGGAACCUGCUGGCCCUGGAGGGCCAACGACAGACUCACCCUUCGGACCCUGAAGAUAAAAUCUUAA